CAAUGAAAUUCAAGGAAAUGUGAGCAAUGAACCACAAUUUCUUCUGCACUUCUUUAUUGCAAAAAUAACAACACCUUUUAGAAAGGUGCUUGGUGUUAAGUAGAGCAGAGAGACCUGUUAGAUGUAAAUGCUCAACGUUAAGUAUGAUAUGAUCCAGACUUAAUUCUAUUGACAGGAAAUUUAAGUUUCAGGGAAAAGAAAGGGAAAAGGAUUAAUUGGCCCUGAAAAGCUGAAAAAUAAGUUGGUACCGAUGUACAUAAUAUUUGUGUAAUAUUAAAUUUCUCUUUCUUUUUUAGUUUCAGUUAGUACGUCGAGAGUCGGUAAGUAAUCGUAUAGGAUAUACUAGUACUUAUACACGCAGGGAAAACAUGGAUGAUAAACUUAUUUUGGCAUUUUGGAAGAAAAGUAAUUCCCAAGUUUCUCUUCUUUUUGAAAAUGCAAAGUAAAACACUUGCCCUGCUGGUGGCAAGUAAUGAAAGGUACAAAGAGAAGCAUUUUUUUUAUGCAAAAAAAAUACAGCGGGAAAUAUUCUGCAGAAGGACCAGCCAAUAGUUACGGAAAUACAUAUGUUUCAACUACCAUCAAUUGUACUGCAUCCAUUGGUGUUAAAAAAACGGAAAUCAUUAAAGUUUGUUUGAUGAAAUGUUGUAAACUUGGAUAGAGUUAAAUGUGGUAGCAUAUUGUGUAAGAAGAAGAAGAAGAAAUUCCAGGUUUGAUACAGUCUUCACGCCAAUAAAAAUAAAUCCUUUAGAUUGGGAAGAUACGAUGAACCUACCUGGUACGGUAAUUUUUUACUACUGUGUAAAGAAUUUAAAGUAUUUGAUGACGAAGAGCAACAUACUUUUUAUAAUUCAUAAUAGUUUUCUCAGAGAACGAAGAAAUGGAGGUAGGAAAUGAGUAAAGAUUAUUAUUUUAAACUUCUUUAACCCAUUGUCAACGCAAAGAUAAUUGAAAAGCAUGGACAUAAUCGAUGUGUUACUUUGAGGAAAAUCAGUAUUUCGCAGCGUUUCCCCCUUUUCAUCAAUUGUAAAAAAGAUUGGAAAACAACAAAACAAUCCCAAUAAUCAAUUACAAUUGGUUUUAGAGAGAAUCUGCUGUUGAAAUGUAUUUUCAUCAACUCAUCCUUCUUAAGAAUUUUAUUUUCUUAAGAUUUUUAUAUGAGGCAUAUCAACAUUAUUAAACAGCCGCAGCAUGUGCAAUAAACUUUAAAUUAUUGUUUACCGCGUGCCGAUAUGUUUACUGAUUUUACUAGCAUAUUGUCAAGAAUAUCAUUUAACUGGAUUAAUGUUUCCCUUGACAAUUUUGUAGUUCGGAACUUUAGAAAAUGAUAAAAAAUUAUUUUCGGUGAUAAACUCUCGUUAUAUAACAUAAAAAUGAAUUUAAGCAAGUUAUUUAAAACAAAUCCGUCAAUAAAAAAAAAUGUUCAAGAUAUUUUGCCGAAACAAAUUUAACAGCAAGUCAUUCGCUUUUUAGAUGAUAAGGAAAUUUCGUACACUUACAGACAGAACUGUGAUUUUGUUUAUUUAUGUUGACACCGGGAUUGUGAGGUCCGAUCAAUUUUAUGAUUAAUUUGAAUGAAAGAAAGGACAACGUUUAUUGCAACUUUGUUACUUUUUCUCUUGAGAUUUUUAACCAAUGAAAUGUGAACAAUUGCGCAAUCCAUUUUAUUUAAGAAAAAUAUUAGAAAGAACCACAAUUUUUUCUGCACUUCUUUAUUGCAAAAAUAACAACACCUUUUAGAAAGGUGCUUGGUGUUAAGUAGAGCAGAGAGACCUGUUAGAUGUAAAUGCUCAACGUCAAGUAUGAUAUGAUUCAGACUUAAUUCUAUUAACAGGAAAAAAAAAAGGGAAAAGGAUUAAUUGGCCCUGAAAAGCUGAAAAAUAAGUUGGUUUUAUUAUAAAAUUUAAAAAGAAUGAAAUCAGACGUCGUUAAAAGCACAAAAUUUUAUGAAGCAGAGAGACCUUUUAUAUGUAAAUGCUCAACGUUAAGUAUAAUGAAAUGUUUAAGGUAAUACUUCAUGUCGUGGCAUAUUCAUAACAAUCUUAAUAAUUAUGUUAUUUAACGAUGUACAUAAUAUUUAUGUAAUAUUAAAUUUCUCUUUCUUUUUUAACUUCAGUUAGUACGUCGAGAGUCGGUAAGUAAUCGUAUACUAGUACUUAUACACGCAGGGAAAACAGCCGUCGUCUGUCUGCUUGAUCACGAGAAAAAAAAUCGUGUCACGGAAACACUAAACGCAAUUUUUAAGGAUAGGCGCACCCGCAACUCACAUCGCUCACUACAGCAUCUACACAGUACACGCUGCCUGUCAAAAUACUUUUAAACCGGGUCUUUUUUCUAAUAUCUCCGUUAAACACACAAUAUUAAUAAAGGCCGUGGAUGGAGAGUCAAGGAAGGAGACCCUAUUAAUGUGUUAGUGCCUUUUGUAUUUUAUUCUCUGGAGAGCGACGAAUUUUUUAUCGUUUUGUUGGAUUUUUUGGGGUCGCAUUUUGCUGUUGUGCUUACAGUCUUUGUUGCGUGUUGCUGUUUUUGCAGUUGGUUUUAGCAAAACUAAUUUAGAAUGGGUCGUAAAAAUAUAAGUACUACUUUCUAUACAGUAAUUAUUACAUGUAGCAACGUUAACUCAGCUACGUUCUUAUUUGUUAAUACAAGAGAAAAUUCCUUGUAAAUUUUUGGGAGAAUUGUAGUUAGCAAUAAAAAUGCAAGUUCAUUGCAGAGUCCGCCAAUAAAAAAAUUAUGCAAGAAAUUUUGCCGAAACUGUGCUUUUGUUUUGCUAAGAUUUUAUUUAUUUAUGUUGACACUAGGAUUGUGAGGUCCGAUUAAUUAUAUGAUUAAUUUUGAAUGAAAGAAAGGACAACGUUUAUUGAAACUUUGUUACUUUUUCUCUUGAGAUUUUUAACCAAUGAAAUUCAAGGAAAUGUGAACAAUGAACCACAAUUUCUUCUACACUUCUUUAUUGCAAAAAUAACAACACCUUUUAGAAAGGUGACUGUUAGAUGUAAAUGCUCAACGUUAAGUAUGAUAUGAUCCAGACUUAAUUCUAUUAACAGGAAAUUUAAGUUUCAGGGAAAAGAAAGGGAAAAGGAUUAAUUGGCCCUGAAAAGCUGAAAAAUAAGUUGGUAACGAUGUACAUAAUAUUUGUGUAAUAUUAAAUUUCUCUUUCUUUUUUAGUUUCAGUUAGUACGUCGAGAGUCGGUAAGUAAUCGUAUAGGAUAUACUAGUACUUAUACACGCAGGGAAAACAUGGAUGAUAAACUUAUUUUGGCAUUUUGGAAGAAAAGUAAUUCCCAAGUUUCUCUUCUUUUUGAAAAUGAAAGUAAAACACUCGCCCUGCUGGUGGCAAGUAAUGAAAGGUACAAAGAGAAGCAUUUUUUUAUUCAAAAAAAAUACAGCGGGAAAUAUUCUGCAGAAGGAAGAUUAACAGCCAAUAGUUAUGGAAAUACAUAUGUUUCAACUACCAUCAAUUGUACUGCAUUCAUUGGUGUUAAAAAAACGGAAAUCAUUAAAGUUUGUUUGAUGAAAUGUUGUAAACUUGGAUAGAGUUAAAUGUGGUAGCAUAUUGUGUAAGAAGAAGAAGAAGAAAUUCCAGGUUUGAUACAGUCUUAACGCCAAUAAGAAUAAUUUCAGUUAGUACCUCGAGAGUCAGUAAGUAAUCGUAUAGGAUAUAGGGAAAACAUGGAUGAUAAACUAAUUUUGGCAUUUUGGAAGACAAGUAAUUCCCAAGUUUUUCUUCUUUUUGAAAAUGCAAAGUAAAACACUCGCCCAGCUGGUGGCAAGUAAUGAAAGGUACAAACAGAAGCAUUUUUUUUAUUCAAAAAAAUACAGCGGGAAAUAUUCUGCAGAAGGAAGAUUAACAGCCAAUAGUUAUGGAAAUACAUAUGUUUCAACUACCAUCAAUUGUACUGCAUUCAUUGGUGUUAAAAAAAACGGAAAUCAUUAAAGUUUGUUUAACGAAAUGUUGUAAACUUGGAUAGAGUUAAAUGUGGUAGCAUAUUGUGUAAGAAGAAGAAGUAGAAAUUCCAGAUCCUUUAGAUUGGGAAGAUACGAUGAACCUACCUGGUACGGUAAUUUUUUACUACUGUGUAAAGAAUUUAAAGUAUUUGAUGACGAAGAGCAACAUACUUUUUAUAAUUCAUAAUAGUUUUCUCAGAGAACGAAGAAAUGGAGGUAGGAAGUGAGUAAAGAUUAUUAUUUUAAACUUCUUUAACCCAUUGUCAACGCAAAGAUAAUUGAAAAGCAUGGACAUAAUCGAUGUGUUACUUUGAGGAAAAUCAGUAUUUCGCAGCGUUUCCCUCUUUUCAUCAAUUGUAAAAAAGAUUGGAAAACAACAAAACAAUCCCAAUAAUCAAUUACAAUUGGUUUUAGAGAGAAUCUGCUGUUGAAAUGUAUUUUCAUCAACACAUCCUUCUUAAGAAUUUUAUUUUCUUAAGAUUUUUAUAUGAGGCAUAUCAACAUUAUUAAACAGCCGCAGCAUGUGCAAUAAACUUUAAAUUAUUGUUUACCGCGUUCCGCCAUGUUUACUGAUUUUACUAGCAUAUUGACAAGAAUAUCAUUUAACUGGAUUAAUGUUUCCCUUGACAAUUUUGUAGUUCGGUACUUUAGAAAAUGAUAAAAAAUUAUUUUCGGUGAUAAACUCUCGUUAUAUAACAUAAAAAUGAAUUUAAGCAAGUUAUUUAAAACAAAUCCGUCAAUAAAAAAAAAUAUUCAAGAUAUUUUGCCGAAACAAAUUUAACAGCAAGUCAUUCGCUUUUUAGAUGAUAAGGAAAUUUCGUACACUUACAGACAGAACUGUGAUUUUGUUUAUUUAUGUUGACACCGGGAUUGUGAGGUCCGAUCAAUUUUAUGAUUAAUUUGAAUGAAAGAAAGGACAACGUUUAUUGCAACUUUGUUACUUUUUCUCUUGAGAUUUUUAACCAAUGAAAUGUGAACAAUUGCACAAUACAUUUUAUUUAAGAAAAUUAUUAGAAAGAACCACAAUUUUUUCUGCACUUCUUUAUUGCAAAAAUAACAACACCUUUUAGAAAGGUGCUUGGUGUUAAGUAGAGCAGAGAGACCUGUUAGAUGUAAAUGCUCAACGUCAAGUAUGAUAUGAUCCAGACUUAAUUCUAUUAACAGGGAAAAGAAAGGGAAAAGGAUUAAUUGGCCCUGAAAAGCUGAAAAAUAAGUUGGUUUUAUUAUAAAAUUUAAAAAGAAUGAAAUCAGACGUCGUUAAAAGCACAAAAUUUUAUGAAGCAGAGAGACCUUUUAUAUGUAAAUGCUCAACGUAUCUUAAUAAUUAUGUUAUUUAACGAUGUACAUAAUAUUUAUGUAAUAUUAAAUUUCUCUUUCUUUUUUAGUUUCAGUUAGUACGUCGAGAGUCGGUAAGUAAUCGUAUACUAGUACUUAUACACGCAGGGAAAACAGCCGUCGUCUGUCUGCUUGUUCACUAAAAAAAAAUCGUGUCACGGAAACACUAAACGCAAUUUUUAAGGAUAGGCGCACCCGCAACUCACAUCGCUCACUACAGCAUCUAAACAGUACACGCUGCCUGUCAAAGUACUUUUAAACCGGGUCCCUUUUCUAAUAUCUCCGUUUAAUACACAUUAUAUUAAUAAAGGCCGUGGAUGGAGAGUCAAGGAAGGAGACCCUAUUAAUGUGUUAGUGCCUUUUGCAUUUUAUUCUCUGGAGAGCGACGAAUUUUUUAUCGUUUUGUUGGAUUUUUUGGGGUCGCAUUUUGCUGUUGUGCUUACAGUUUUUGCUGUUGGUGUUGCUGUUUUUGCAGUUGUUUUUAGCAGAACUAAUUUAGAAUGGGUCGUAAAAAUAUAAGUACUACUUUCUAUACAAUAAUUAUUACAUGUAGCAACGUUAACUCAGCUACGUUCUUAUUUAUUAAUACAAGAGAAAAUUCCUUGUAUAAUUUUGGGAGAAUUGUGGUUAGCAAUAAAAAUGCAAGUUCAUUGCAGAGUCAGCCAAUAAAAAAAUUAUUCAAGAAAUUUUGCCGAAACUGUGCUUUUGUUUUGCUAAGUUUUAUUUAUUUAU